UACAGAGGGUGCAAGCGUUAAUCGGAAUUACUGGCGUAAAGCGCGCGUAGGUGGUUUGUUAAGUUGAAUGUGAAAUCCCCGGGCUCAACCUGGGAAACUGCAUCCAAAACUGGCAAGCUAGAGUAGGGCAGAAGGGGUGGUGGGAAUUUCCUGUGUAGCGGUGAAAAUGCGUAGAUAUAGAAGGAACACCAGUGGCGGAAAAGGGCGACCCACCCUGGGCUCAUACUGACCACU
rnacentral:rRNA from 1 species